rnacentral:rRNA from 1 species
UAAACCGACACAGGUGGACUGGUAGAGAAUACCAAGGCGCUUGAGAGAACGAUGUUGAAGGAACUCGGCAAAAUACCUCCGUAAGUUCGCGAGAAGGAGGCCCGGUUCCUAGGCAACUAGGGGCUGGGGGCACAAACCAGGGGGUGGCGACUGUUUACUAAAAACACAGGGCUCUGCGAAGUCGCAAGACGACGUAUAGGGUCUGACGCCUGCCCGGUGCCUGAAGGUUAAAAGGAGGGGUGAGAGCUCUGAAUUGAAGCCCAGGUAAACGGCGGCCGUAACUAUAACGGUCCUAAGGUAGCGAAAUUCCUUGUCGGGUAAGUUCCGACCUGCACGAAUGGCGUAACGACUUCCCAGCUGUCUCAACCAGAGACUCAGCGAAAUUGAAGUACGAGUAAAGAUGCUCGUUAGCUGUGGAAGGACGGAAAGACCCCAUGGACCUUCACUAUAACUUGGUGUUGAGUCUUGAAUUGCGUUGUGUAGGAUAGGUGGGAGGCUUGGAAGCAUUGGCGCCAGCCAGUGUGGAGCCAUCGUUGAAAUACCACCCUGCGUAUGACGAGGCUCUAACCCAGACCCGUUAUCCGGGUCGGGAACAGCGUCAGGUGGGUAGUU